rnacentral:rRNA from 1 species
UGGCUCAGGGUGAACGCUGGCGGCGUGCUUAACACAUGCAAGUCGAACGGACUUAAGGGGCUUGCUUCUUAAGUUAGUGGCGCACGGGUGAGUAAUAUAUAGCUAACCUGCCCUUUAGUGGGGGACAACAGUUGGAAACGACUGCUAAUACCCUAUACUCCUUCUUACUAUAAGGUAAGUUGGGAAAGAUUUAUCGCUAAAGGAUGGGGCUUUAUUGUAUCAGCUAGUUGGUGGGGUAAUGGCCUACCAAGGCUAUGGCGCAUACCUGGUCUGAGAGGAUGAUCAGGCACACUGGAACUGGGACACGGUCCAGACUCCUACGGGAGGCAGCAGUGGGGAAUAUUGCACAAUGGAGGAAACUCUGAUGCAGCAACGCCGCGUGGAGGAUGACGCAUUUCGGUGUGUAAACUCCUUUUAUAGGGGAAGAUAAUGACGGUACCCUAUGAAUAAGCACCGGCUAACUCCGUGCCAGCAGCCGCGGUAAUACGGAGGGUGCAAGCGUUACUCGGAAUCACUGGGCGUAAAGGAUGCGUAGGCUGGAAAUCAAGUCGAGAGUGAAAUCCAACGGCUCAACCGUUGAACUGCUCUCGAAACUGGUUACCUAGAAUAUGGGAGAGGUAGAUGGAAUUAGUGGUGUAGGGGUAAAAUCCGUAGAUAUCACUAGGAAUACCGAUUGCGAAGGCGAUCUACUGGAACAUUAUGACUGGCUCAGGGUGAACGCUGGCGGCGUGCUUAACACAUGCAAGUCGAACGGACUUAAGGGGCUUGCUUCUUAAGUUAGUGGCGCACGGGUGAGUAAUAUAUAGCUAACCUGCCCUUUAGUGGGGGACAACAGUUGGAAACGACUGCUAAUACCCUAUACUCCUUCUUACUAUAAGGUAAGUUGGGAAAGAUUUAUCGCUAAAGGAUGGGGCUUUAUUGUAUCAGCUAGUUGGUGGGGUAAUGGCCUACCAAGGCUAUGGCGCAUACCUGGUCUGAGAGGAUGAUCAGGCACACUGGAACUGGGACACGGUCCAGACUCCUACGGGAGGCAGCAGUGGGGAAUAUUGCACAAUGGAGGAAACUCUGAUGCAGCAACGCCGCGUGGAGGAUGACGCAUUUCGGUGUGUAAACUCCUUUUAUAGGGGAAGAUAAUGACGGUACCCUAUGAAUAAGCACCGGCUAACUCCGUGCCAGCAGCCGCGGUAAUACGGAGGGUGCAAGCGUUACUCGGAAUCACUGGGCGUAAAGGAUGCGUAGGCUGGAAAUCAAGUCGAGAGUGAAAUCCAACGGCUCAACCGUUGAACUGCUCUCGAAACUGGUUACCUAGAAUAUGGGAGAGGUAGAUGGAAUUAGUGGUGUAGGGGUAAAAUCCGUAGAUAUCACUAGGAAUACCGAUUGCGAAGGCGAUCUACUGGAACAUUAUGAC